GAUGAACGCUGGCGGCGUGCUUAACACAUGCAAGUCGAACGAAGCGCUUAAACGGAUUUCUUCGGAAUGAAGUUUUUGCGACUGAGUGGCGGACGGGUGAGUAACGCGUGGGUAACCUGCCUCAUACAGGGGGAUAACAGUUAGAAAUGACUGCUAAUACCGCAUAAGCGCACAGUGCUGCAUGGCACAGUGUGAAAAACUCCGGUGGUAAUGAGAUGGCCUCGCGUCCGAUUAGCUAGUUGGUGAGGUAACGGCCCACCAAGGCGACGAUCGGGUAGCCGGACUGAGAGGUUGAACGGCCACAUUGGGACUGAGACACGGCCCAG
rnacentral:rRNA from 1 species